rnacentral:rRNA from 1 species
UGUACCACCCGAUCCCAUUCCGAACUCGGCCGUGAAAGCCUGUAGCGCCGAUGGUACUUUGUCUUAAGGCACGGGAGAGUAGGUCGUUGCCUGGU